AGAGCAAUGUGAGUGGUGGUUAUGGAGGUGGUUAUGGAGGUCAGAGCAGUGUGACUGUUGGUUAUGGAGGUGGUUAUGGUGGUUAGACCAGCUGAGUGUUGGUUAUGGAGGUGGUUAUGGUGAUCAGAGCAGUGUGAGUGGUGGUUGUGGAGGUGGUUAUGGUGAUCAGAGCAAUGUGAGUGGUGGUUAUGGAGGUGGUUACGGUGAUCAGAGCAAUGUGAGUGGUGGUUGUGGAGGCGGUUAUGGAGGUCAGAGCAGCUGAGUGGUGGUUAUAGAGGUCAGAGCAGUAUGAGUGGUGGUUAUGGUGGUCAGAGCAGUGUGACUGGUGGUUAUGGAGGUGGUUAGGGUGAUCAGAGCAGUAUGAGGGGAUAUGACCACGUUCUGGAGGAAAACUCCAGUGACUGUCAGUCAAACCUUGGUUAGGUAGAGAAGGAGCACUAAAGAGCUACUCCAGAUAUAAAAGCAGUGCAUUUAUGGGAGUUGAAUAGAAUGGGAGGGAUGUCUAGUAUAUCCAGUAUAAUGGGUAAAUGGGAAAUAUAAUUUAUUCUGAUCACUCUUGGUCAGCUUCUCUGUCGUCU
rnacentral:lncRNA from 1 species